rnacentral:rRNA from 1 species
CCUACGGGAGGCAGCAGUGGGGAAUAUUGGGCAAUGGACGCAAGUCUGACCCAGCAACGCCGCGUGAGGGAAGAAGGCUUUCGGGUUGUAAACUUCUUUUGUCAGGGAAGAGUAGAAGACGGUACCUGACGAAUAAGCCACGGCUAACUACGUGCCAGCAGCCGCGGUAAUA